AUGCUAGAGCACUUUUUCAAUGUGCUCCCCAACGAGAAGGCGAAGACGCAGUCGUAUGUCAAUCCAUAUCAACUUUCGAUGCCAUUGACUGUGCCUACCAUGGUGACCACGUGUAACGGGGAGUCAGGGUUCGAUUCCAUACAGGAACCCUGACAAACGGCUACCACAUGCAAGGAAGGCA